UUGACCUCAAAUCAGGUAGGACUACCCGCUGAACUUAAGCAUAUCAAUAAGCGGAGGAAAAGAAACUAACAAGGAUUCCCUUAGUAACUGCGAGUGAAGAGGGAAAAGCUCAAAUUUAAAAUCUGGCAGUGUUUCACUGUCCGAGUUGUAACCUAGAGAAGUGUAACCUGUGCUGGACCGUGUAUAAGUUUCCUGGAAUGGAGCAUCACAGAGGGUGAGAAUCCCGUCUUUGACAUGGACUACCAGUGCAUUGUGGUUGUGCUCUCAACGAGUCGAGUUGUUUGGGAAUGCAGCUCUAAAUGGGUGGUAAAUUCCAUCUAAAGCUAAAUAUUGGCGAGAGACCGAUAGCGAACAAGUACCGUGAGGGAAAGAUGAAAAGAACUUUGGAAAGAGAGUUAAACAGUAUGUGAAAUUGUUGAAAGGGAAACGUUUGAAGUCAGUCGCGUUAGCUGGGGAUCAGCCUGACAUUGUUGGGUGCACUUCCUGGUUGACGGGCCAACAUCAGUUUUGACUGCCAGAAAAAGGCCAAGGGAAUGUGGCACCUUUGGGUGUGUUAUAGCCUUUGGUCAUAUAUGGUGGUUGGGACUGAGGAACGCAGUGUGCCGAAAGGCCGGGUUUCGACCACGUUCACACUGAGGAUGUUGGCAUAAUGGCUUUAAGCGACCCGUCUUGAAACACGGACCAAGGAGUCUAACAUGCAUGCGAGUGUUUGGGUGGAAAACCCUUACGCGUAAUGAAAGUGAAAGUUGAGAUCCCUGUCGUGGGGAGCAUCGACGCCCGGACCAGAACUUUUGUGACGGAUCUGCGGUAGAGCACGUAUGUUGGGACCCGAAAGAUGGUGAACUAUGCCUGAAUAGGGUGAAGCCAGAGGAAACUCUGGUGGAGGCUCGUAGCGAUUCUGACGUGCAAAUCGAUCGUCAAAUUUGGGUAUAGGGGCGAAAGACUAAUCG
rnacentral:rRNA from 1 species